UACGGAGGGUGCGAGCGUUGUCCGGAAUCACUGGGCGUAAAGGGCGCGUAGGUGGCGCGGGCAGUCAACGGUGAAAGUUCGGGGCUCAACCCUGAAUCGGCCGUCGAUACUCCCGGGCUUGAGCACUGUAGAGGCAGAUGGAAUUCCGGGUGUAGCGGUGGAAUGCGUAGAGAUCGGAAAGAACACCAACGGCGAAAGCACUCUGCUGGGCCGACACUGACACUGAGAGACGAAAGCUAGGGGAGCGAAUGGG
rnacentral:rRNA from 1 species